AUCGGUCACGUGGCGUCGGUGCUUCGAACUGGAGGUAAGGUGGGGAUGACGUCAAAUCAUCAUGCCCCUUAUGACCUGGGCUACACACGUGCUACAAUGGACAGAACAAAGGGCAGCGAAACCGCGAGGUUAAGCCAAUCCCACAAAUCUGUUCUCAGUUCGGAUCGCAGUCUGCAACUCGACUGCGUGAAGCUGGAAUCGCUAGUAAUCGCGGAUCAGCAUGCCGCGGUGAAUACGUUCCCGGGCCUUGUACACACCGCCCGUCACACCACGAGAGUUUGUAACACCCGAAGUCGGUGAGGUAACCUUUUAGGAGCCAGCCGCCGAAGGUGGGACAGAUGAUUGGGGUGAAGUCGUAAGC
rnacentral:rRNA from 1 species